rnacentral:rRNA from 1 species
UACGUAGGGGGCUAGCGUUAUCCGGAUUCACUGGGUUUAAAGGGAGCGUAGGUGGGCGAGUAAGUCAGUGGUGAAAUCUCCGGGCUUAACCCGGAAACUGCCAUUGAUACUAUUUGUCUUGAAUGUUGUGGAGGUAAGCGGAAUAUGUCAUGUAGCGGUGAAAUGCUUAGAUAUGACAUAGAACACCAAUUGCGAAGGCAGCUGACUACACGAAUAUUGACACUGAGGCACGAAAGCGUGGGGAUCAAACAGG